rnacentral:rRNA from 1 species
GUGUGGUGGAAAGAUUUAUCGGUGCAGGAUGGGCCCGCGGCCUAUCAGCUUGUUGGUGGGGUAAUGGCCUACCAAGGCGACGACGGGUAGCCGACCUGAGAGGGUGACCGGCCACACUGGGACUGAGACACGGCCCAGACUCCUACGGGAGGCAGCAGUGGGGAAUAUUGCACAAUGGGCGGAAGCCUGAUGCAGCGACGCCGCGUGAGGGAUGAAGGCCUUCGGGUUGUAAACCUCUUUCAGCAGGGACGAAGCGUGAGUGACGGUACCUGCAGAAGAAGCACCGGCUAACUACGUGCCAGCAGCCGCGGUAAUACGUAGGGUGCGAGCGUUGUCCGGAAUUACUGGGCGUAAAGAGUUCGUAGGCGGUUUGUCGCGUCGUUUGUGAAAACCCGGGGCUCAACUUCGGGCUUGCAGGCGAUACGGGCAGACUUGAGUGUUUCAGGGGAGACUGGAAUUCCUGGUGUAGCGGUGAAAUGCGCAGAUAUCAGGAGGAACACCGGUGGCGAAGGCGGGUCUCUGGGAAACAACUGACGCUGAGGAACGAAAGCGUGGGUAGCAAACAGGAUUAGAUACCCUGGUAGUCCACGCCG